CGUACAAAUACGUUCAGGGGUUCCAGAGAUAUGGAAAAGUCUCUUUGGACCGACUGCACGCCUGUUUGCAUGCCCAAAACAGUUCCACAGAUUCAGGCUGUGCAGUCGGUCUAUUUCUGCCUUGAAAAAUAAUAAAGUCCCAUCCGAAGGCAGCGUUCGAAUAGUCAAACGCACUUCGACUUCUGUCGAAGUAAAACGGGAUUAACCUUCCGCGGUGGUCGUUAGUUGAGUGGCAGUCUAUUAAACAUGAAAAAGAUGACAAAGCCCCAUUCGAGCGUGUGUUCGAAUCUUCCAGCCGCAGUGUUGAAGGGUAGGGGAAGGUACAGGUCAGCAGUGUUCGUUCAAAUGUGUAGCUGAUUUCCGUUCCAGGGAUUUUACGGCACACACCUCUGACCGCGUUCGACUGCAUUAAAAUGGCCGCCGCCACGUGUUCAAUUGUCUAAUUGCGGCCACUUCGGCUGAAUCCGAAGUGCCAUAUCAAAUGUACCCAUUCUUUGCACAACACAGUUAAAGGGCCAGAAACAGUCUUUGUCCUUAGGUGCAGGGCAAUGUGGAUGAUGGCAGGAAAACAAAAGGUAGAGGUUCCCAGGCAACAUGGUAGGAGGCUGGUACAACAUAUAUUACAGAUCCAACGCAAAACAGGGGAAUCUGUUACAGUAACUGUCAAUGUAUUAUAUAAAUGACUGUUGUGGUGGGUUUGGGCAGUUGGUAUCGGGAUGUACUGGGCAGUAACUGUCAAUGUAUUAUAUAAAUGACUGUUGUGGUGGGUAUGGGCAGUGGGUAUCGGGAUGUACUGGGCAGUAACUGUCAAUGUAUUGUAUAGAUGGCUGUGUUGUGGUGGGUUUGGGCAGUGGGUAUCGGGAUGUACUGGGCAGUAACUGUCAAUGUAUUGUAUAGAUGGCUGAGUUGUGGUGGGUUUGUGCAGUGGGUAUCGGGAUGUACUGGGUAGUAACUGUCAAUGUAUUGUAUAGAUGGCUGUGUUGUGGUGGGUUUGAGCAGUGGGUAUCGGGAUGUACUGGGUAGUAACUGUCAAUGUAUUGUAUAGAUGGCUGUGUUGUGGUGGGUUUGAGCAGUGGGUAUCGGGAUGUACUGGGUAGUAACUGUCAAUGUAUUGUAUAGAUGGCUGUGUUGUGGUGGGUUUGAGCAGUGGGUAUCGGGAUGUACUGGGUAGUAACUGUCAAUGUAUUGUAUAGAUGGCUGUGUUGUGGUGGGUUUGGGCAGUGGGUUUCGGGAUGUACUGGGCAGUAACUGUCAAUGUAUUGUAUAGAUGGCUGUGUUGUGGUGGGUUUGGGUAGUGGGUUUCGGGAUGUACUGGGCAGUAACUGUCAAUGUAUUGUAUAGAUGGCUGUGUUGUGGUGGGUUUGAGCAGUGGGGAUCAGGAUGUACUGGGUUGUAACUUUUUGUAUUGAAUAGAUGGCGAUUUUGGAAAUACAAAGCAAUGGAGAGAAGGUGUCUGAAGAGAGCAUUUCCCGGUCUGUGCAAUCAUUGGAAGACCCAAAUAUGAAGGUAGAAAUUUAAGUCUUAUCACUUAAAUAAUUUGUUUAAUCAUAAAGCACCAACAUAAUGCAAACCCUCCGUCAUACUCAGUGCCAGCCUAAUCUCCAACUCUCCAUCACACUCAGUGCCAGUCUAAUGCCCAGCACUCCAUCAUACUCAGUGCCAAUCUAAUCUCCAACUCUCCAGCAUACUUGGUGUCAACGCUCCAUCAUACCCUGUGCCAGCCUAAUCUCCAACUCUCCAUCAUACUCCGUGCCAGUCUAAUCUCCAACUCUCCAUCAUACUCCGUGCCAGACUAAUCUCUAGCUCUCCAUUUUACUCAGCGCCAGCCUAAUCUCCAAUCCGUGCCAGCCUAAUCUCCAACUCUCCAUCACACUCAGUGUCAGCCUAAUCUCCACCUCUCCAUCAUACUCAGUGCCAAUUCUCCAUCAUACUUGUGCCAGCAUAAUCUCCAACUCUCCAACAUACUCAGUGCCAGCCUAAUCUCAAGUUUUUUUAUCAUACUCAGUGCCAGUCUAAUCUCCAGCACUCCAUCAUACUCAGUGCCAACUCUCUAUCAUACUCAGUGCCAGUCUAAUCUCCAACUCUCCAUCAUACUCACUGCCAGCCUAAUCUUGAGCUCUCCAUCAUACUCAGUGCCAGUCUAAUCUUCAGCUCUUCAUCAUACUCAGUGCCAGCCUUAUCUUAAACUCUUCAUCAUACUCAGUGCCAGUCUAAUCUCCAGUUCGCCAUCAUACUCCGUGCCAACCUAAUCUCCAACCUAAUUCUCCAUCAUACUUGUGCCAGCCUAAUCUCCAACCUAAUUCUCCAUCAUACUUGUGCCAGCCUAAUCUCCAACUCUCCAACAUACUCAGUGCCAGCCUAAUCUCCAGUUCGCCAUCAUACUCAGUGCCGACCUAAUCUCCAACUCUCCAUCAUACUGACUGCCAGCCUAAUCUCCACUUCUCCAUCAUACUCAGUGCCAGUCUAAUCUUCAGCUCUCCAUCAUACUCAGUGCCAGUCUAAUCUUCAGCUCUCCAUCAUACUCAGUGCCAGUCUAAUCUCCAGUUCGCCAUCAUACUCAGUGCCAGCCUAAUCUCCAACUCUCCAUCAUACUCACUGCCAGCCUAAUCUCCAGCACUCCAUCAUACUCAGUGCCAGCCUAAUCUCCAUUUCCCCAUCAUACUCAGUGCCAGCCUAAGCUCUAGCUCCCCAUCAUACUCCGUGCCAGCCUAAUCUUCAGCUCUCCAUCAAACUCAGUGCCAGCCUAAUCAUACUAUAUAAUAAUCCCAGUGAUUCCAUCACACACCCAAUACCAAUAUAAUAAUCCUAGUGACUCCAUCAUACACCCAAUAUCAAUAUAAUAAACCCAGUGGAUCAUCAUACACCCAAUACCAAUAUAAUAAUUCUAGUGACUCCAUCAUACACCCAAUACCAAUAUAAUAAACACAGUGACUUCAUCAUACACCCAAUACCAAUAUAAUAAACACAGUGAUUCCAUCAUACACCCAAUACCAAUAUAAUAAACACAGUGACUCCAUCAUACACCCAAUACCAAUAUAAUAAACCCAGUGACUCCAUCAUACACCCAAUACCAAUAUAAUAAACCCAGUGACUCCAUCAUACACCCAAUACCAAUAUAAUAAACCCAGUGACUCCAUCAUACACCCAAUACCAAUAUAAUAAACCCAGUGACUCCAUCAUACAUCCAAUACCAAUAUAAUAAUCCCAGUGAUUCCAUCAUACACCCAAUACCAAUAUAAUAAACCCAGUGACUCCAUCAUACACCCAAUACCAAUAUAAUAAACCCAGUGACUCCAUCAUACAUCCAAUACCAAUAUAAUAAACCCAGUGAUUCCAUCAUACACCCAAUACCAAUAUAAUAAACCCAGUGACUCCAUCUUACACCCAGUGCCAAUAUAAUAAACACAGUGACUCCAUCAUACUCCCAAUACCAAUAUAAUAAACACAGUGACUCCAUCAUACUCCCAAUACCAAUAUAAUAAACCCAGUGACUCCAUCAUACACCCAGUGCCAAUAUAAUAAACCCAGUGACUCCAUCAUACACCCAAUACCAAUAUAAUAAACCCAGUGACUCCAUCAUACAUCCAAUACCAAUAUAAUAAUCCCAGUGAUUCCAUCAUACACCCAAUACCAAUAUAAUAAACCCAGUGACUCCAUCUUACACCCAGUGCCAAUAUAAUAAACCCAUUGACUCGCAUCAUACACCCAAUACCAAUAUAAUAAACCCAUUGACUCGCAUCAUACACCCAAUACCAAUAUAAUAACCCCAGUGACUCCAUCAUAAACCCAGUGCCAAUAUAAUAAACCCAGUGACUCCAUCAUACACCCAAUACCAAUAUAAUAAACCCAGUGACUCCAUCACACACCCAAUACCAAUAUAAUAAACCCAGUGACUCCAUCAUACAUCCAAUACCAAUAUAAUAAUCCCAGUGAUUCCAUCAUACACCCAAUACCAAUAUAAUAAACCCAGUGACUCCAUCUUACACCCAGUGCCAAUAUAAUAAACCCAGUGACUCCAUCAUACUCCCAAUACCAAUAUAAUAAACACAGUGACUCCAUUAUACACCCAAUACCAAUAUAAUAAUCCCAGUGAUUCCAUCACACACCCAAUUCCAAUAUAAUAAACACAGUGACUCCAUCAUACACCCAGUGCCAAUAUAAUAAUCCCAGUGACUCCAUCAUACACCCAAUACCAACAUAAUAAUAACAGUGACUCCAUCAUACACUCAAUGUCAAACUAUGAACGUAACACAGAGAAUCAGGGAUUUCCCUAUUUAUACAUUAUACAAACCUAUAGACAGACUGACAGCCAUUUCUAAUCGUAGCAUGAUAAACCCAGUACCAACAGUAAACACAGACACACCAGCAUACGCCAUGUAGAAAAACUUAAUUAUGUGUUGUUCCAAUGCCAGCGUUCUAGAUUCAUGGUAGUUAGUUAAAUCCACUAUAGUACUGUUGGGUAGGGGUGGGAUUGGGAGGGUUGGGUUUGUGUGUGUGUGUGUGUGUGUGUGUGUGUGUGUGUGUGUGUGUGUGUGUGUGUGUGUGUGUGUAUAUAUAUAUAUAUAUAUAUAUGAGGAAUUUACUAUUACAAUAAGCAAGUUGUGUUUUGAUGUCUUUGCAGAAAAUGUAAUAUGUAGGGAUAGUGGAUGUCUUGUGUCCUCUCUGCAGCUCCUGGUCUGCUGUUACAUUUCAUUUUGUCUGCUUGAAUGCUGCUUGGGUAUUUAUCAUAUGACUUUUUCUUGUAGGAAUUUGUCCAGAAAUGUCUCUCUCAAUUUCCUGGACAAAGACCUUCAGCACACAAUCUGCUAUUUCACAGAGUCCUAUUCGAAGUUCAUUCCCUGAAGCUACUGGCAGCACACACCUUUCUCAACACACCGUGUGAGUAACCAGCAUACAAUACACACCUUUCUCAACACACCGUGUGAGUAACCAGCAUACAAUACACACCUUCUCAACACACCGUGUGAGUAACCAGCAUGCAAUACACACCUUCUCAACACACCGUGUGAGUAACCAGCAUACAAUACACACCUUCUCAACACACCGUGUGAGUAACCAGCAUGCAAUACACACCUUCUCAACACACCGUGUGAGUAACCAGCAUGCAAUACACACCUUCUCAACACACCGUGUGAGUAACCAGCAUACAAUACACACCUUCUCAACACACCGUGUGAGUAACCAGCAUACAAUACACACCUUCUCAACACACCGUGUGAGUAACCAGCAUACAAUACACACCUUCUCAACACACCGUGUGAGUAACCAGCAUACAAUACACACCUUCUCAACACACCGUGUGAGUAACCAGCAUGCAAUACACACCUUCUCAACACACCGUGUGAGUAACCAGCAUACAAUACACACCUUCUCAACACACCGUGUGAGUAACCAGCAUGCAAUACACACCUUCUCAACACACCGUGUGAGUAACCAGCAUACAAUACACACCUUCUCAACACACCGUGUGAGUAACCAGCAUACAAUACACACCUUCUCAACACACCGUGUGAGUAACCAGCAUGCAAUACACACCUUCUCAACACACCGUGUGAGUAACCAGCAUACAAUACACACCUUCUCAACACACCGUGUGAGUAACCAGCAUACAAUACACACCUUCUCAACACACCGUGUGAGUAACCAGCAUACAAUACACACCUUCUCAACACAACGAAAUAGGAAGUUCCGUUGAGAGCCCAUACCCCAUGAGUAGCAGGAGGUGAGUGUAUAUAAUUUUGUGAGCCAAAACCCACUUCUUCUCCUAAAUAAUGGAAAUGAGUGACUUUCUCCCUGGCUCCUCUUAUGACUAAUAUAUGUCACUUACAAUGCCCAUGAAUUUCGUUGGUAGAGAGUCGCAAGAUGCCGGUCUUUUAUCUAACCAUAUCACCCGUUCCUUCUUCUCAGACAUCGCACAGGACACACUUCUGGAAGAAAAGACAAAACAGAUAGACCCACAUGGCUUGAUGGCUUCCAUACCACAAAAAGGACAGGCUGUCAUAUUGUGGAGGUUAGAUAUACCAUUUCUGCUUUCAGGUCUUAGUUUACAGAGGUUAUUUCACGCCGGGUUAUAAUACCGUAUCAUUAUAUAGAAUAUUAUUCACACCAGGGUAUAAUACCCUAUCAUUACAUGGCAUAUUCACCCGAGGUAUAAUAGCGUAUCAUUACAUGGAAAAUUAUUCAUUCCAGGGUAUAAUACAUUAUCAUUACAUAGAGUAUUAUUCACUCCAGGGUAUAAUACAUUAUCAUUACAUAGAAUAUUAUUCUACCCGGGGUACAAUACGGCAUCAUUACAUAGAGUAUUAUUCACCCCGGGGUAUAAUACCGUAUCAUUACAUAGAAUAUUAUUUACACCGGUGUAUAAUGCCGUAUUAUUACGUAUAAUAAUAUUCACACCUGGGUAUAAUACCGUAUUAUUACGUGGAAUAAUAUUCACACCAGGGUAUAAUACUGUAUCAUAACUUACUAUAGUAUUUACACCGUGGUAUAAUACCUUAUCAUUACUUAGAAUAGUAUUUACACUGGGGUAUAAUACCAUAUUAUUACAUAGAAUAGUAUUCACACCAGGAUAUAAUACCGUAUUAUUACUUAGGAUAGUAUUUACACCGGGGUAUAAUACCGUAUUAUUACGUAGAAUAAUAUUCACACUUGGGUAUAAUACCGUAUUAUUACUUGGAAUAAUAUUCACACCAGGGUGUAAUACUGUAUCAUUACUUAGUAUAGAAUUCACACCGGGGUAUAAUACCAUAUUAUUACUUAGAAUAGUAUUCACACCGGGGUAUAAUACUGUAGCGGAAAUCUAGUAUUCCACAAGUUAUCUCCGCUUAAGAUCCCAGUGAGGCUCAGGAACAAAUAUUUAUAAAUCCAUAAGGCAAGGUUUCCAGCAGGUAAAACAACAUAGCAAUAUCCCAAUAGCAAUCCCAAUUACUGGACAACACACAGUAUCAGGGGCAGAACUAAACUUUUAUUCACACAGUAGCCUUAUAAAGAAUGCUCCCAUGCAAGGGAGGGAUUUACAAUAAUUACUACAGUGCCCAAUCGUACUCGAGUAACCUCCCACACAUCUCCUCCCCUUAGCCUGACUCAUACUCCCCUUAUACAGUUCACAAAUUCCCCAAGUUUCUGGAUGUACCCCUAAACCUAGGGGUACCCCUUUAAAUGUCACAUCCCCUGGUAGCCCUGAUCUGGGUGAGAGACAUAUCCAAAAAUCACCCAGAUUGGACCAGGGGUUUGGGAAAUCUGUGGAGGUAAUGAAAAGACCGACCGCGCUGGAGAGAACAGCCGAAUUUGGUUCCAGGAGAUGGGGCCCUGCGGUUGGUCACAGUAUAAGGGAACAAACUGCAUGAAAGGCUGAUGCUACAGAGAUCAGGGAGGGUUCGCAUGAAUCCCCUCGUUCGGUUGUUUGGAAGCGAACAUACCGUUAGUAUGGAGGUCUCAGCGGUGUUCGUCUAUCCGAGUGUCCGAUUUGGGUUCCAGACACUCGACGGCAAAACACCACUGUUCGGGAGUUUUAAAAUUGCCGCCGCCACGUGUUUGUUUCCCGAAUGGCGGCUACCCCGAGAACAAAGGACCCACUGCACAGCUUGUCAAUUACAUUUCACACUGGGGAUGUCUGACUGUUCGGUAGUUUCAUUCCCAUAAUUGCUAGAAUGAUUCUACCGAACAAUCAGACGAACACAACAUACAUUUCUACAUAUAACAUUGCAAUUUUAACCGAAGGCUUUAAAACACAUGAAAUUUCCAGGACAGCCCAGUGCAAUCCGCUACAAAUACCGCAUCAUUACAUAGAAUAUUAUUCACCCCAGGGUACAAUACGGCAUCAUUACAUAGAAUAUUAUUUACACCGGGGAAUAAUGCCUUAUUAUUACGUAGAAUAUUAUUCACACCAACGUAUGAUACCGUAUUAUUACAUAGAAUAGUAUUUACACCGGGGUAUAAUACCGUAUUAUUACGUAGAAUAAUAUUCACACCUGGGUAUAAUACCAUAUUAUUACGUGGAAUAAUAUUCACACCAGGGUAUAAUAGUGUAUCAUUACUUAGAAUAGUAUUCACACCGGGGUUUAAUACCGUAUCAUUACUUAGAACACCAGGGUAUAAUACCGUAUUAUUACUUAGAAUAGUAUUUGCACCAGGGUAUAAUACCGUAUUAUUACUUAGAAUAGUAUUCACACCAGGAUAUAAUACCGUAUUAUUACUGAGAAUAGUAUUCGCACCGGGGUAUAAUACCGUAUUAUUACAUAGAAUAGUAUUCACACCAGGAUAUAAUACCGUAUUAUUACUUAGAAUAGUAUUCACACUGGGGUUUAAUAGAUUUAAUCUGAAUCUUAUUCUGCAUUAUAAAUCAAUAGUAAUGGUUGCCCAUGGAUGGUAGGCUUUGUAUGCAGUUAGAUGGAAGGAUUCUGUCCUAUGAAUUGAACAUAUGUUUAUAGCGUCUCAUAGUCCAGUUGGGCUGAGAGCUCUGACAGAGGACAUUGUAAGGCCAGUGUAAAGCAGUAAUUAACGACGCUCAUUGCCCUUCUCUGUGUCUGUCAGGUACUCACAGGUCUCUUCGAUGGAGCUGGAUAAAUUUCUGGAAGAUGUGAGG
rnacentral:lncRNA from 1 species